UGUACAUCCGUUACACAGAGCUCAGUACGGUCCUUACAGUGUUCUUCGACAAGAAGCAAUGUUCUCCUUUAGGUUUCAGUGCGUCGUGUUAAUAGCAACAGUUCUCACCUUUCUUACCACCACUGAAGGCCGGUGUCCAGAUCCUUUACCGGGGAUCAACAACCGCUGUUACGAAGUUGUGAAGCUACCCCUGCGUUGUCCUGACGGAAAAGUACCGGUAGGCGAGGGUUGUAGGCCAAAGAUAUCACCACCCGGGAGACGGUGACGUCGAGAUACAGCUUUCUUCAGGAACUAGUUUGCUAUCCACAAUGUGCAACAUAUAUCCUUAACCACAGAUUUAUGUAUUCUGAAAUGUAACAGCGUCAAAAAGAUUUAUACACUAGCGACCGAGCUAGUUACGUGUUCAUUAUUGUAUAUAGAAACACUAUGCAAUAUGUAACAAUGAAAUAUAUAUUACUCACUUAAAA